ACGGAGGGGGCUAGCGUUGUUCGGAAUUACUGGGCGUAAAGCGCACGUAGGCGGCUUUGUAAGUUAGAGGUGAAAGCCCGGGGCUCAACUCCGGAAUCGCCUUUAAGACUGCAUCGCUAGAAUUGUGGAGAGGUAAGUGGAAUUCCGAGUGUAGAGGUGAAAUUCGUUGAUAUCGUGGGGAACACCAAAGGCGAAGGCAGCGCACUGGUCCAAAUCUGACGCUCACACACGAAAGCCAGGGUAGCGAAUGGGA
rnacentral:rRNA from 1 species